rnacentral:tRNA from 1 species
GAGAGUUUAGCUUAAUUAAAGUGCUCGAUUUUCAUUGGAUUGAUGCAAGGUAAAAUCUUGUAGUUCUUA